rnacentral:rRNA from 1 species
GACGAACGCUGGCGGCGUGCUUAACACAUGCAAGUCGAACGGAAAGGCCCUGCUUUUGUGGGGUGCUCGAGUGGCGAACGGGUGAGUAACACGUGAGUAACCUGCCCUUGACUUUGGGAUAACUUCAGGAAACUGGGGCUAAUACCGGAUAGGAGCUCCUGCUGCAUGGUGGGGGUUGGAAAGUUUCGGCGGUUGGGGAUGGACUCGCGGCUUAUCAGCUUGUUGGUGGGGUAGUGGCUUACCAAGGCUUUGACGGGUAGCCGGCCUGAGAGGGUGACCGGCCACAUUGGGACUGAGAUACGGCCCAGACUCCUACGGGAGGCAGCAGUGGGGAAUAUUGCACAAUGGGCGGAAGCCUGAUGCAGCAACGCCGCGUGCGGGAUGACGGCCUUCGGGUUGUAAACCGCUUUCGCCUGUGACGAAGCGUGAGUGACGGUAAUGGGUAAAGAAGCACCGGCUAACUACGUGCCAGCAGCCGCGGUGAUACGUAGGGUGCGAGCGUUGUCCGGAUUUAUUGGGCGUAAAGGGCUCGUAGGUGGUUGAUCGCGUCGGAAGUGUAAUCUUGGGGCUUAACCCUGAGCGUGCUUUCGAUACGGGUUGACUUGAGGAAGGUAGGGGAGAAUGGAAUUCCUGGUGGAGCGGUGGAAUGCGCAGAUAUCAGGAGGAACACCAGUGGCGAAGGCGGUUCUCUGGGCCUUUCCUGACGCUGAGGAGCGAAAGCGUGGGGAGCGAACAGGCUUAGAUACCCUGGUAGUCCACGCUGUAAACGGUGGGUACUAGGUGUGGGGUCCAUUCCACGGGUUCCGUGCCGUAGCUAACGCUUUAAGUACCCCGCCUGGGGAGUACGGCCGCAAGGCUAAAACUCAAAGGAAUUGGCGGGGCCCCGCACAAGCGGCGGAGCAUGCGGAUUAAUUCGAUGCAACGCGUAGAACCUUACCUGGGUUUGACAUGGAUCGGGAGUGCUCAGAGAUGGGUGUGCCUCUUUUGGGGUCGGUUCACAGGUGGUGCAUGCCUGUCGUCAGCUCGUGUCGUGAGAUGUUGGGUUAAGUCCCGCAACGAGCGCAACCCUUGUUCACUGUUGCCAGCACGUUAUGGUGGGGACUCAGUGGAGACCGCCGGGGUCAACUCGGAGGAAGGUGGGGAUGACGUCAAGUCCUCAUGCCCCUUAUGUCCAGGGCUUCACGCAUGCUACAAUGGCUGGUACAGAGAGUGGCGAGCCUGUGAGGGUGAGCGAAUCUCGGAAAGCCGGUCUCAGUUCGGAUUGGGGUCUGCAACUCGACCUCAUGAAGUCGGAGUCGCUAGUAAUCGCAGAUCAGCAACGCUGCGGUGAAUACGUUCCCGGG